ACUGCAAACCGCAAAGGCAGGACCAGAAUCCAGAUCUGUCCAUGCCAAGGCCCGUCCGGAGCUUCCCCCUCACAGCCAGGAGGAUGAGGAGGGUCCAGAAGGGCCCGCACAAAGGGAUCUUAUGAACGGGGGGGCGUGCAACCGCCUCCUCUUGGUUUCCGGCGGAGAAAGGGAAGCCCAGAGAAGGUAUUUAAAACUCUAUUCAAGCUUAUUUUUUAAAAAGGUACCAACAGACUCAAGAGGUCGGUCGCAUGUUUGUUUCUUUAGACGACAUCAACUCUCUGUUAUGAAGAGACUGACACGCUUAUAUUUCCCUUUCCCACCCCCAAUUUACUAGUUAUAUUAUUAAGGCUUAUAUCUCGUGCAGUCUGAAUCUACAAUGCAAUUCCCAGUUCGGCCUUCGUUCUUUAUGUAAAUUCAAUGCACAUCACCUGCCGUUUUGUUACAAGCUCCUCCGUUAUUGAGCUAUUUGAUUCGCCUUUUCUAUCAAGCGGUUUCCUCAAGAAGGGCUUGUGGGUGUUGUUUUCCCUGAGUUUUGCACUCUUCACAUUGUAUUUGACAACGUGGCUGGCAAUCACCUACUUAGUCACUCUUUUUCAACUACGUCGAACUUUGGAGAUAUUUCUCCAUUACCUCCUGGCAUUGAAUCUUGUGGUAGAGAAGUUUAAGACCCUUGGCUGGCUUGCUUUUUCGGCCUCAAUUUUUUUCAGGCUUGAAGUUUAUGGACUCCAUCGGGUUAUAUUUUCGUGUCAAGUGCUUUCUCUCAGAUUGCCUAGAAUAUA